GUCGUGACUUGAAGUCAUAACUUACGGGCUAACAACUGUGUCUGGAACGCAGCAAUAAGAGGAAGAAUUAUUUAAUUU